CGGCAUUGUUGUGGAACACAACAAUGCCGAGUACAACACAACAAUGCCGAGUAAACAAAUAAUGCUUCACUACCAAGCCAGUCGCAUUAUCACUGCUAAAGAAGCAGCACAUCACGUCGCUUUAUUAAAAAUUGACUGACAGUUGGCCUAAAACAUCAGAAAAGUGAAAAAAGAUGUUAUCAACUACUUGAAGUACCAAAUCCAACAACUGCAACAAGAGGCCCAGGACUACGUGGGAAAAACAUAUAAGGGAAAAUAUGCAAAGUUGAGUAGCAAAAGAGUGGACACACAAAAAAAUAGUCAUAAUUGGAGAAGAGGAUAAAUUAUGGCUUUCUUCUAAGGUUCUCGGUCCAGAUGCAGCCAUAUGGGCACCAAGACUAUGCCCAAUUAUAUGAAUGAGCUCCGGUUGGAUUCCAACUUGUACCUAAGGAAACAAUUUUAAAAUAUGUUCACUGGUUUUGACUAAAUGACAAAAGUUGCGUUCUUCAAAAUUGCAAGGGAGCUGUCAUGUAACUUAUCUUAAUUGCAUGCAGUGUCAUUUUGUGUUAAUAUGACUGAAAAACUGGAUAGUGUGGAAUGGAAGUGCAGUUAUUUCCAGAGCAAUGAUUGCUUGUCAGGAUGCGUAAUUGCCCCACAAAUAAUUGUCACUGACACAAUGACUAAAAGAAUGACAGAAUGCUGCUACUAAUUUUUAAUAUAAAAGUUAUCAGUCUUUUUGUAUCAAAAGUGUGAAGUAGAUGAAGAAUGGAAGAUAUUAUAUACCAAACAACUUUAGGAUUCAUGCACUCAUUUAGUACCUUCAGGAGUAUUCAAUCAAGGAGGAAUUGGCUGGACGUAUGUCUCAAGUGGGGAAUCAGUAUAUGUAUAUGUUACCUGCAAACUAUGAAAUCUGGCAAUGUAUAGAAUACGUAAAGUCAGUAGGCAGCUUGUCUAUGGAGGGUGGUGUGUUUUAAAGUAUUACUUUUCAGAGUAGCUGUAACCAAAUUGCAUCUUCAAAGCCAUGGAAGGGCAUCACCCUCCUUCCUACAAAGCUCUAAGUUAAUGGUACAGCAUUGCUAGCUUUGCUACACUGCAAGUUGCAAGUUGUCCUCAGUUGCCUGGGCUCUGCUAUUAGUGUUACAGCUUUGUGCAGUUUUGCUAUGACCUUCAUGACAGCUACUUUUGUGAUAAAUACAUGUCACAUCACUAUACAAAAAGUAUAUAAUAAUAUUACGUAUUAUUGACACCAUUUAUCAUUUUAGCACUAAGUAAAAAUGUAGGAAUACAAUGACAGAUGUUAUUUAAGUACAAAAACAUAAUAAAACGUGAGAAAACUGAAGCAUACUUACAAUU